ACACAGAAUCACAUCCCCCCUCUGUUUAUAAUGAUAAAAAAAAGGAAAACUAGGGUUGAAAUUGGAUCUGCAGACAUCGGAGAGGGCUUAGUCGAAGAAGAAGAAGAAGAAGACUGCAAAUGGCGCCUCCUCCUGGUCCUUAUUCCGGAACGAGUACCUUCGCUCUGGUGGCUCGUGUGUCGGCCUUCUCCAUCGGGCUUGUCUAUGGAAGCGUGAAGCUCAAGUAUCUAAAGGCAAAGGCUAAAUCUCAUAAGAAGGCUGAAGCUAAGGCACAUCACUAAAGCAGAGAACCUUUUUUUUCUUUUACCCCUUUAGUUCUGAUAGAAAAAAUAAUGUAUGAUGUAGAGUAACCAUCAAUUCGUCUUGGCCUGAAAUAUUUUUGGAUCAUGAUUUGCUCAUUGUGAGAAUUUUCACUCGUUUUUGUCUUCAGUCACUGCCAAAGCACUUCAGUGCUUGUUAUCUGUGAAGAAAGUUGGGAGAUGAUGUAAUUACGUCUUCCUUCAUGAGGUUAUUCCAUGUUUCACCCUCAGAUACAUGAUCUUACUGCAGGCAUUUAGCUUUUUAUUUAUAUUCAGUUAUUUCUUCAUAUGUGCCUACAUUUUAAUUGAAAUGAUGGUAAAAGAAGUGCUAUGUUUUGAUCAGGUGUGUGGCAUAACUUGUACAAAACCUAGAGGCAAAAAGAAAUCAAACCAGGAUUUCCUAUUUCUUUUAGGGCUAAAUAUGCUUUCCUGGUAUUGUCUGCUGGUUCAUAGUGGGGUAGCGUGUCCUUAAAGGCUGUCAUAUUUAUUGUUACGGA